CAUAAGUGGCUCCCACCAAAUUGGGGAUACUGAAAUGAUAGCCAUAGCAAGAGAAUGCCCUGAACUUAGUUACUUGGAUGUGAGGGUUCUCCGGGUAUGUCCACUUAUACUUGUUCUAUAGAGUGGGAUAAACAAUGGAUAUAAUGCAAAGACUGUGCGUGUAUGUUUAACAUGUUUACGUACAAUUAUCUACUAUAUAAAUUGAUUAGCAUUUCUAAAUUACAUGAUACUUCGGUAUUUUCAUGCUGCAAUCUGUUGGGGUAGACACUAUAAUCUUGGUUGCAGCUCACUAUGAAGAUGAAAAUUCUUGUGAUUUGAAUUGCCUAGAACUUCAUGUUAUUGGUCAUUUGAGAUUUUGUUGUAUAUGCAAACUGGGACUUUGUCGGGAUAAAAGGAAUCAGUUGGGGAUGGGCAUAAUCAUUUCUAUGGAGACUCUUGUCACUUAUUUUCCUCUUGAUAUUCUUAAUUUUAUCAUCUCUUAAUAGGCCUGCCUUCACAACUACCAAGCAUUAGAGAAGUUGACAGCCAUCGGUGCAGUUGCCAGGUAAAAUAUGUAAUAAGAGAAUUAUUCGGAGCAAAAGAAUAUAAACCCCUUACUCCCACCAAAAUAAGAAAGAAAUGUGUUAUAUUUUGACAAAACUUCUGAUAAAAUGUUAUUGUAACAAGGAUCAUCUUACAAGGCUGUGCGUGUAUCACGCCCUUACCGGCCAACAACAGUACGCUAUCGAACUAUAAAGAAGUAAUUUGAGUAAUAAUCAACGUCUUUUUGCUGCUGAAAUUCCGUCUCCACUUCACCUCGACAAACAAUGAUCGCCAUAUGGUGUCAAAUCUUGUGUUGACGGACAAGCGCUGGAGUAAGAUAUUAGAGAGAAAAAUACAAAAUGGGAUCUUUAAGUGCAGAAGUAGUACAACUGAAGAAUGUGGUUAUAUCCAAGGAUAAUGAGUGUUCAUCCUUCUGAAAGAUGGAGUCAUUCUUCUUGUUACUCUAAUGACUGUAUUCUCCUACUGCAAAGUGGAUGUUAUGGAUUGAAAAACUCAAAGUUAGUUACUUUCAUCCUUCUGAAGAU
rnacentral:lncRNA from 1 species